UUUAAAUGCAACCAUAAGUUUCCGUACCUAACUUUUUAUAAUUAGUAUUUUUAUUAUUAUAAGAUAAUAAAAUAUGAAUAGUACUUUAUGCAUGACUUAUGUUUUUAAUUUUUUUAAAAAAUAAAUAAGACGAGCGAUCAAAGCUAGGUACAAGACUGCACGACAA
rfam:Oryza glaberrima chromosome 3 Oglab03_0107_6, whole genome shotgun sequence.